UGGGAAUAUUGCACAAUGGGCGCAAGCCUGAUGCAGCCAUGCCGCGUGUAUGAAGAAGGCCUUCGGGUUGUAAAGUACUUUCAGCGGGGAGGAAGGGAGUAAAGUUAAUACCUUUGCUCAUUGACGUUACCCGCAGAAGAAGCACCGGCUAACUCCGUGCCAGCAGCCGCGGUAAUACGGAGGGUGCAAGCGUUAAUCGGAAUUACUGGUCGUAAAGCGCACGCAGGCGGUUUGUUAAGUCAGAUGUGAAAUCCCCGGGCUCAACCUGGGAACUGCAUCUGAUACUGGCAAGCUUGAGUCUCGUAGAGGGGGGUAGAAUUCCAGGUGUAGCGGUGAAAUGCGUAGAGAUCUGGAGGAAUACCGGUGGCGAAGGCGGCCCCCUGGACGAAGACUGACGCUCAGGUGCGAAAGCGUGGGGAGCAAACAGG
rnacentral:rRNA from 1 species